rnacentral:rRNA from 1 species
AAAGAUUCAGCCAUGCAUGUCUAAGUAUAAACGAUCUAAUCGCGAAACCGCGAAUGGCUCAUUAUAACAGCUAAAAUCUACUUGAUCUUGACACAAUCCUACUUGGAUAACUGUGGUAAUUCUAGAGCUAAUACAUGCAUUAAAGCUCUGACCUCACGGGAAGAGUGCACUUAUUAGAACAAAACCAAGCGGCUUCGGCUGUUUCUGGUUGACUCAUAGUAACUGAGCUGAUCGCACGGUCUUGCACCGGCGACGUGUCUUUCGAGUAUCUGCCGUAUCAACUUUCGAUGGUAGUGUAUCUGACUACCAUGGUGAUCACGCGUAACGGAGAAUAAGGGUUCGGCUCCGGAGAGUUCGCCUGAGAAAUCGCGAACACAUCUAAGGAAGGCAGCAGGCGCGAAAAUUACCCACUCUCAGCACGAGGAGGUAGUGACGAAAAAUAACGAGACCGUUCUCUUAUGAGGCCGGUCAUCGGAAUGGGUACAACUUAAACCCUUUAACGAGUAUCUAUGAGAGGGCAAGUCUGGUGCCAGCAGCCGCGGUAAUUCCAGCUCUCAAAGUGCAUAGAAUUAUUGCUGCGGUUAAAAAGCUCGUAGUUGGAUCUGUGCCAUAGGACGUGGUCCACCUUCUGGGUGCGUACUAUGUUCCUAGGCUUUUUGCUGGUUUUCCCGUCGUAGCCUUAACUGGUUGCGGCGGGUGGCUGGCGAGUUUACUUUGAGAAAAUCAGAGUGCUCAACACAGGCGUAUCGCUUGAAUGAUUGUGCAUGGAAUAAUAGAAAAGGAUUUCGGUCCUCUUUUAUUGGUUUUGUGGACUGAGAUAAUGGUUAACAGGGACCAACGGGGGCAUUCGUAUCGCUGCGUGAGAGGUGAAAUUCUUGGACCGUAGCGAGACGCCCUACUGCGAAAGCAUUUGCCAAGAAUG